GGCUGGUCUGAUGCUAGUGGGUUAUCAGAACCUAUUAACAGUAGUGUCACUAACAUUGGUAUGCAAUCUCCCACUGCUAAAUUUGACUGGCUUUAA
ensembl:misc_RNA Y_RNA Y RNA